rnacentral:rRNA from 1 species
AGUAACACGUAGGGAACCUGCCCAUGCGGCCGGGACAACUUCCGGAACCGGAUGCUGAUACCGGAUAAGGAAAGCGAAGGCGUCUUUGCUUUGUUAAAGGAGCUGCAAGGCUCCGCGCAUGGAUGGACCUGCGGUGCAUUAGCUGGUUGGUGAGGUAAAGGCUCACCAAGGCGACGAUGCAUAGCCGGCCUGAGAGGGCGAACGGCCACACUGGGACUGAGACACGGCCCAGACUCCUACGGAAGGCAGCAG